CACGGCCUAACACAUGCAAGUCGAACGGUGGCAGCAAUGCCAUAGUGGCGCACGGGUGCGUAACACGUAACUAACCUGCCCAGACCUGGGGGAUAGCCCGCCGAAAGGCGGAUUAAUACCGCAUAAGAUGAUAGAGCGGCAUCGCUUCGUCAUUAAAGAUUUAUCGGGUUUGGAUGGGGUUGCGGGUCAUUAGCUAGUUGGUAAGGUAACGGCUUACCAAGGCGACGAUGACUAGGGGAGCUGAGAGGCUGGUCCCCCACACGGGCACUGAGAUACGGGCCCGACUCCUACGGGAGGCAGCAGUAGGGAAUAUUGGGCAAUGGGCGAGAGCCUGACCCAGCCAUGCCGCGUGCAGGAAGAAGGCUUUCUGAGUCGUAAACUGCUUUUGACAGGGAAGAAUAAGCACUACGUGUAGUGUGAUGACGGUACCUGCAGAAUAAGCACCGGCUAACUCCGUGCCAGCAGCCGCGGUAAU
rnacentral:rRNA from 1 species